CUUUUCUUUCUUUUUUCCUAAGAAGAUCUCAAACACCUCUAUUGUUGAAAGUCAAUCUGUUUCUAUUGACCUAUUGGGUUAAGUUUUCAGAGUAUGUUAUUGAAUUUGAGAGCCUUUGCUUAUAUUUUCUCCUUCGAUUUCUCAAGACUGGAAUAAUUCUGGAUUAUCUGAAUUACUUUUUCUUCAUACAUGAAGGGCUUUCUCCUGGAUACUUGCAAAAUGUGUUUUUGACAUUUUGAAAAUAUUAGCACUACAUGUCCUAUAGUCUUAUUUUUCUGGUGACAAUAUGUGUAUUUGAUUGACUAGAACUUUCCUGUCUAUAUUACAAUAUUCUGGACAACAUUUUUGGACUUUUCCUGCAAUAUUGUAUUCAGGUCUUUCAAUUUGCCAUGUUCCUUUGUGAAACUUGGAAUAUUUUAAGAUGUCUCUAUACAUCCUUUUUACAAGGUCACUUGCUUUGCUCAUGUAGGAUUUAAAUAUGCUUUUGUUUAUGUUCCCUUUUGCUUUUUCGCUACCAAAUUGUCUUCCAUUUUAGCAUUUCUUUGAGUUUUAACUUUGUUACUCAUUUUCUCUGAGUCCCUGCUUCUUUGAGGAGGUUCUUCACUGCAUAUUUAUUUUUUCUUACUGUGUGUUUUGUGUUUUUAAAAUUCUUUACAGAGACCUCUGAUUUCUGAGUUAAUUUCUUUCUUCUAAUCAUUUUUUUUCUCUUUUGAACCAUUAUGGAUUCCUCCUAUUCCCUACUGUUUGAUCUUUGGUAAGUGCAGAAUCUUCCUUUCCUUUGGUUAAUUUUGACUCAUUUUCCUUCAGAAUGUGUUUUCAUUGUGCUCUAGGCCCUCUUUGAGAUUUAUUCAUUCUUCCUUCUGUCUUUAAGGUCCUUUCUAUUGCUUUAUCUAUUUAUAAGCUAGGUUUUUAUUCAGAAAGUGUCUCUUGAACUUUGAUCUUUCCACAUUUCUCUUGUAUCCCUUGUUGGUUGCUUCUGAUAUCCUUCUUUGGCUCCCUUCCCCUUCCACUGCUAUCCAGAUUCCAAGUCUGGGUGUGCAUGUUGUCUUCGCUUCCUUGGGUUAGGAAAUAUGGGGUCUCCCUGAACCAGAACCUUGCCUAAAGUAAACUUGGGUAGAGAGACAUGACCCUAACUUGGCAUCCACUCCCCUCUUUCCACAGCGAAGAGAACACUGGACUUGGAGUCGAGAAGAUCAGAGUUCAAAUAUGGCCUAGAUAUUUAUUAACUAUGUAACCCUGGGCAGAUCCCUUUAAGAACGAUCUUCCUCAGUUUCCUCAUCUGUGAAAUGGAGAUGAUAACAAUAACAGCAACCAAUUCCUAAGAUCACUGGGAGGAUAAAACGAGAGCACAGGACCAGGAACAAUGGACAGAAGUUACAAAGAAGCAAAUUUAGGCUUGAUGAUAGGAAAAAUUUCCUAAGAAUGAGAGCUUUCCAAAAGUCGACGGAGCUACCUUGAGAGACUGUGCUGAAGAUGGUCGCCACGGUACCAGGGAAUUCAAACAAUGGUGACCUUGGAGCCGGGAUUGUAGGCAGGAUCUGGCAUAGAAAAUAUGAGAAGCCAGGUGAGCCACACUCACUCAAGCCCAAGGGAGAUUUUGGAUCAUGCUCUAUCCCCUUCUCCCCAGAGACUGAGGAUGUGUGGAGGGGAGGAUUAUGCCCCUUACAUUUGAGGGGAGUGAGUUUGUAAAUUUGUGAUUUUAUAUAUAUAUUUUGAAGUAAA